CGGACGGGUGAGUAACGCGUGAGAAUCUGCCCUUUGGUCGGGGACAACCACUGGAAACGGUGGCUAAUACCGGAUAUACCUAACGGUGAAAGAUUAAUUGCCAAAGGAGGAGCUCGCGUCUGAUUAGCUAGUUGGUGGGGUAAAAGCCUACCAAGGCGACGAUCAGUAGCUGGUCUGAGAGGACGAUCAGCCACACUGGAACUGAGACACGGUCCAGACUCCUACGGGAGGCAGCAGUGGGGAAUUUUCCGCAAUGGGCGAAAGCCUGACGGAGCAAUACCGCGUGAGGGAGGAAGGCUCUUGGGUUGUAAACCUCUUUUCUCAGGGAAGAACUCAAUGACGGUACCUGAGGAAUCAGCAUCGGCUAACUCCGUGCCAGCAGCCGCGGUAAUACGGAGGAUGCAAGCGUUAUCCGGAAUGACUGGGCGUAAAGCGUCCGCAGGUGGCAUUGAAAGUCUGCUGUCAAAGAGUCUGGCUCAACCAGAUAAAGGCAGUGGAAACUACAAAGCUAGAGUACGUUCGGGGCAGAGGGAAUUCCUGGUGUAGCGGUGAAAUGCGUAGAGAUCAGGAAGAACACCGGUGGCGAAAGCGCUCUGCUAGGCCGUAACUGACACUGAGGGACGAAAGCUAGGGGAGCGAAUGGGAUUAGAUACCCCAGUAGUCCUAGCCGUAAACGAUGGAUACUAGGUGUUGCUUGUAUCGACCCGAGCAGUACCGUAGCUAACGCGUUAAGUAUCCCGCCUGGGGAGUACGCAGGCAACUGUGAAACUCAAAGGAAUUGACGGGGGCCCGCACAAGCGGUGGAGUAUGUGGUUUAAUUCGAUGCAACGCGAAGAACCUUACCAGGGCUUGACAUGUCGCGAAUCCUUGUGAAAGCAGGGAGUGCCUUCGGGAGCGCGAACACAGGUGGUGCAUGGCUGUCGUCAGCUCGUGUCGUGAGAUGUUGGGUUAAGUCCCGCAACGAGCGCAACCCUCGUUUUUAGUUGCCAUCAUUAAGUUGGGCACUCUAGAGAGACUGCCGGUGACAAACCGGAGGAAGGUGGGGAUGACGUCAAGUCAGCAUGCCCCUUACGUCCUGGGCUACACACGUACUACAAUGCUACGAACAGAGGGCAGCAAGCGUGCGAAUGCAAGCUAAUCCCGGAAAUCGUAGCUCAGUUCAGAUCGCAGGCUGCAACUCGCCUGCGUGAAGUUGGAAUCGCUAGUAAUUGCAGGUCAGCAUACUGCAGUGAAUUCGUUCCCGGGCCUUGUACACACCGCCCGUCACACCAUGGAAGCUGGUAGUGCCCGAAGUCAUUACCCCAACUGUUCGCAGAGGGGGAUGCCUAAGGCAGGACUGGUGACUGGGGUGAAGUCGUAACAAGGUAAC
rnacentral:rRNA from 1 species